UAAUAAUAAAUGAAGAUUCUUUCAUAUAAAAUGCUUAACACAUGCUCUUUGAUUGGUGCUUGUGCUUUUUGCAAUGUCCCUUGUUUUCGGUUCUUUUUUCUAAUCUUUGAAGUUUCACCUUCUAUUAGGAAAGGCAAAACGUCAACCAAAUAAGUUAAUUUGUUUGAUAAUCUGUGUAAUGUAAUAGCGACUAUGUUGGUCCUUUCUUUACUAUUGUGUUUAAUAUGUUGACUUUUUUUUAUGUUGAUUUGCAAUUCAAUUCAUGGUGAUGUGUACAAAACAUGGUCUUCUGUUUAUGUGUUUCAGUAUUGCUGUUGGAUUAUAUAUUCUUCUAAGAGCUGUUAACCGCCAUGCUGCAAACUUUAACCAUUUUCCUGGGCAGUUCGACGGUUGAUUGGAUUAGGAUAUAUCUCGGCUUAAAACUACAGCUGUUAGCCUACUUAAUGAUAUGGGUUGUACUGGUUUAACACUGACAGAGGACCUUAUUGAUGAAAUGUGCCGAUUUGGCACUGCAGAGCUCCAUGCUGUGCUGCCGUCAUUGGAGGAAUUGCAUCACAAGAAGUGAUCAAGCUUAUAACGACAGUUUGUUCCCAUGUCUGGCACAUUCAUAUUCAAUGCGAUUCACCACAAGUCUCAGUUGUUGACUCUGUGGUAGAACUUCAAGCAAAGCAAAUUUUGGAAAUAAAUGGUGUGUUUUCGUCUCAUCUGGUGCAAUGAUGAUUUAAAUGAAGAAGCGUGCAGACUUCAGGAUUUGUUGGCAGAUUCAGUCAAGAUAUGGGAUGGCUAUUUAUUUGCAGGUAUAGCUUUGCUGCUCCAUAUGUAAAAAAAUUCUGGGUUGAGGCAGUAUUUUUGUAUUUUAAC